rnacentral:rRNA from 1 species
AUUGAACGCUGGCGGCAGGCCUAACACAUGCAAGUCGAGCGGCAGCACGGGUACUUGUACCUGGUGGCGAGCGGCGGACGGGUGAGUAAUGCCUAGGAAUCUGCCUGGUAGUGGGGGAUAACGCUCGGAAACGGACGCUAAUACCGCAUACGUCCUACGGGAGAAAGCAGGGGACCUUCGGGCCUUGCGCUAUCAGAUGAGCCUAGGUCGGAUUAGCUAGUUGGUGAGGUAAUGGCUCACCAAGGCGACGAUCCGUAACUGGUCUGAGAGGAUGAUCAGUCACACUGGAACUGAGACACGGUCCAGACUCCUACGGGAGGCAGCAGUGGGGAAUAUUGGACAAUGGGCGAAAGCCUGAUCCAGCCAUGCCGCGUGUGUGAAGAAGGUCUUCGGAUUGUAAAGCACUUUAAGUUGGGAGGAAGGGCAUUUACCUAAUACGUAAGUGUUUUGACGUUACCGACAGAAUAAGCACCGGCUAA